UAAAGUGGAUUAGCGGCGGACGGGUGAGUAACACGUGAGUAACCUGCCUUAGACAUUGGGAUAGCCUCGGGAAACCGGGAUUAAUACCAAAUAAAAUCAUAAUGACACAUGUCAUAACGAUCAAAACUCCGGUGGUCUAAGAUGGACUCGCGUCCCAUUAGCUAGUUGGUAGAGUAAAAGCCUACCAAGGCGACGAUGGGUAGCCGGCCUGAGAGGGUGAACGGCCACAUUGGAACCGAGAAACGGUCCAA
rnacentral:rRNA from 1 species